CUUGAGGAAUAUAAGAGGUCCAGCCUGCCCAGUGACCUAGUUCAACGGCCGCGGUAUCCUAACCGUGCGAAGGUAGCGUAAUCACUUGUUCUUUAAAUAAGGACUAGUAUGAAUGGCACCACGAGGGUUUAACUGUCUCCUUUUUCUAAUCAGUGAAACUAAUCUCCCCGUGAAGAAGCUGGGAUUUUUUUAUAAGACGAGAAGACCCUAUGGAGCUUUAAACUAUUUUACACCUGCUGCCCACAAACCAACUUCCAGAAAUUAACCCUAAAGCAUAGCACUUUGAUUAAUAGUUUUUGAUUGGGGUGAUCGCGGAGUAAAAAAUAACCUCCACGACGAAAGGAUUUUUCCUGAGCCAUAAGCCACAGCUUUAAGCACUAAUAUUAUUAACGGCUAUUGACCCAAUAAUUUUGAUCAACGAAC
rnacentral:rRNA from 1 species